rnacentral:rRNA from 1 species
GACGAACGCUGGCGGCGUGCUUAACACAUGCAAGUCGAACGAUGAAGUUCCUUCGGGAAUGGAUUAGUGGCGAACGGGCGAGGAACACGUGAGAAACCUGCCCAUCAUUCUGGGAUAACACCGGGAAACCGGUGCUAAUACUGGAUACUCCAUCGCGGCGGCAUCGCUGCGCUGGGAAAGAAUUUCGAUGAUGGAUGGUCUCGCGGCCUAUCAGCUUGUUGGUGAGGUAACGGCUCACCAAGGCGACGACGGGUAGCCGGCCUGAGAGGGCGACCGGCCACACUGGGACUGAGACACGGCCCAGACUCCUACGGGAGGCAGCAGUGGGGAAUAUUGGGCAAUGGACGCAAGUCUGACCCAGCGACGCCGCGUGAGGGAUGAAGGCCUUCGGGUUGUAAACCUCUUUCAGUGGGGAAGAAGCGAAAGUGACGGUACCCAAAGAAGAAGCACCGGCUACCUAUGUGCCAGCAGCCGCCGUAA